UACGGGGGGGGCAAGCGUUGUUCGGAAUUACUGGGCGUAAAGGGCUCGUAGGCGGCCAACUAAGUCAGACGUGAAAUCCCUCGGCUUAACCGGGGAACUGCGUCUGAUACUGGAUGGCUUGAGGUUGGGAGAGGGAUGCGGAAUUCCAGGUGUAGCGGUGAAAUGCGUAGAUAUCUGGAGGAACACCGGUGGCGAAGGCGGCAUCCUGGACCAAUUCUGACGCUGAGGCACGAAAGCGUGGGGAGCAAACAGG
rnacentral:rRNA from 1 species